rnacentral:misc_RNA from 1 species
AACGCACGAGACCUGCGGACCUGCGGAGGGAUCAUUACAGGACUCGCAAGACUCCUUACACCCUGUGAACCUUACUGUAUACGCGUUGCUUCGGCGGGUCCGCCCGCCGGCAGCAUACCACAUUCUGUUUCUCUGCGUUGGCAUCUCGAGAAAAAGCAAAUAAGUUAAAACUUUCAACAAUGGAUCUCU